CGAAAACUCACAAAUACUCCUUAGAAACAUCAGGUGGUGGCGGCGGAAGCGCGAAAACGGCGCAGCCCGGAGGUCGCCCCAGCCCCCCGCGCCAGCUCCCCGCCCCUCCCCCGCCGCCGGUCCUUUGGGGCAGCGCCGACGCCGGCCCGCCGGGCGCGCGGGAUGGAGGCCGGGCCCGCCGCCCCGCAGCCCCCCGGCCCCGCGCCGUCGGCGGCCGCCCGCGCACGAGGGGUCCCCGCGGCGGCAUUCCUCCCCGCGCGCUGUUUACGUGACUUAAUGCGCUUCACGGGCUGCGGCUCGUUAUCUGGGCCACCCAAUGACCGACGAAAGAUCUUCCCUCCCUGCUUCUCACAAGGCCGCUUUAAACCAAAUAAAUUUAGCUGUUAAGGGCCAAGAUGUCUGACAAAAGAUCGAAAGGUGUCUUUCCGUGGUCGCUUAAAGAAGCGAAGGAGAAACUUGUGGCUGCGGAAUCCCGAUAAAGACAUUCCUCCCCGGCGCCGGCCGCCUCCCCGCGGCCUGGCUGCGCCCUGACCCCCGAGACGGCCACUUCCGCGGCCCCCACCUCGGAGGGCCCGGCGGGACCUGGGGCCGCGGCACCGGGGAAGUGGCAGUCGCCAGGCUGCCCGGCCUGGGAGCGCCAGGCCCGGGGUGCGGGGAGCCGGGCAGCUCCAGGCCGGAGCUGGGCGCCCGAUGCAGCCCCCCUGCACUGCUCAGAAAAACGAAACAGUGGGGCCUAAAUCACCAUCCCAUUUGGAUUAUUUUCUGCGACGACUAGUACGACAAAGCCGACCCACCGCUCCCGCCCCGCCCCCGCUCCCCGCGGUCUUGCCGAGGGGCCGUGCUGCUCCACGUCCUGGUCAGCGGGAGCGGCCCUUCUUGGGAACCCCAGUUCGAACGCGGCCGCUGGAACUGAGGCCAAUGCGGAGGGUGUGGACUCGCAGGCUAACGGCGUGCAGGUAAUCCAGAUUUCUUUUCAUUGCGAGGGAUGUGUGAGAAUUGAUGCCCUAUUUGAAGAAAACCAGCCACUGUCCACACCGAGGGUCCUCCCUCCCUGGAAGCCCCCAAAUACAUAGGAAACAGGCUGAAAGCUCUCCAGCGAGUUGUGGCAGUUUUCCCUCUCCUGAGAAGUGCCAGAGAGUUCCGGUUGCUCCGUGUCCUCACCAACACUUGGCAUCAUCAGUCACUUUAAGUUUUGUCAUUCUGAAACACAAGCCAAACACACUUAAAGAUCAGCCGCCAAGAAGGACAAGUAAGUCCCCAGCUCUCCCUACUUCUGAUUCUCCAGUCAUCCAUCCCUGGAGAUUCCUUCUCAGCGAGGAUGCCGUAAUCUUCAUCUCAGUGAGAUGUGCCCCUCUUCUCUGGAACAUUCCAGGGUUCUUUUUUUCUUUGUAGCUAAGUACAGAAUGACAUCCAGGCAAUUCCACUUCCAUCACCAAGAGGCCCUGUAAAGAGAAAGGGGCUGUUUUCCUGCUCUUGACUUUCCUUCCCACUGAAGUGCCUG
rnacentral:lncRNA from 1 species